rnacentral:rRNA from 1 species
AGAGUUUGAUCCUGGCUCAGAGCGAACGUUUGCGGCGGGCCUAACACAUGCAAGUCGAACGAGAACCGGCCCUUCGGGGCUGGGGAAAGUGGCGCACGGGUGCGUAACACGUGGGUAAUCAACCCUUUGGAUCGGGACAACCCGGGGAAACUCGGGCUAAUACCGGAUGUGUCGUGAGAGCUCUAGGGCUUUCACGGGAAAGGCCCGCAAGGGCUACCAGAGGACGAGCUCGCGGCCCAUCAGCUAGUUGGUGAGGUAAUGGCUCACCAAGGCUAAGACGGGUAGCUGGUCUGAGAGGAUGAUCAGCCACACUGGAACUGAGACACGGUCCAGACUCCUACGGGAGGCAGCAGUGGGGAAUAUUGCGCAAUGGGCGAAAGCCUGACGCAGCCACGCCGCGUGUGCGAUGAAGGUCUUCGGAUCGUAAAGCACUGUGGGGGGAGAAGAAUAAAGCCGGUGAAGAGCCGGCCCUGACGGUAUCCCCUUAGCAAGCACCGGCUAACUCCGUGCCAGCAGCCGCGGUAAUAC